CCUACGGGAGGCAGCAGUGGGGAAUUUUGGACAAUGGGCGCAAGCCUGAUCCAGCUAUUCCGCGUGUGGGAUGACGGCCCUCCGGUUGGUAACCCCUUUAGUCGAGAGCGAAAAGAACGUCACGAGUGAAUCGCUCUGCUGACCGUACGAUAAGGAUAAGCACAGGCCAACUACGUGCGAGCAGCCGCGGCAAUACGUAGGGUGCGUGCGUUAAUCGGUAUUACUGGGCGUAAAGGGUGUGCAGGCGGCAGAGUAAGCCAGAUGUGAAAACCCCGGGCUUAAGCUGGGACGCGCAGAUGGGACUGCUGGGCUAGAGUGCGUGAGAGGGAGGUGGAAUUCGACGUGUAGCAGUGAAAUGCGUAGAUAUGAGGAAGAACACCGAUGGCGAAGGCAGCCUACUGGGGCGCAACUGACGCUCAUGCACGAAAGCGUGGGGAGCAAACAGGAUUAGAUACCCGAGUAGUC
rnacentral:rRNA from 1 species